GAUGAACGCUGGCGGCGUGCCUAAUACAUGCAAGUCGAGCGAACAGAUAAGGAGCUUGCUCCUUUGACGUUAGCGGCGGACGGGUGAGUAACACGUGGGUAACCUACCUAUAAGACUGGAAUAACUCCGGGAAACCGGGGCUAAUGCCGGAUAACAUUUAGAACCGCAUGGUUCUAAAGUGAAAGAUGGUUUUGCUAUCACUUAUAGAUGGACCCGCGCCGUAUUAGCUAGUUGGUAAGGUAACGGCUUACCAAGGCAACGAUACGUAGCCGACCUGAGAGGGUGAUCGGCCACACUGGAACUGAGACACGGUCCAGACUCCUACGGGAGGCAGCAGUAGGGAAUCUUCCGCAAUGGGCGAAAGCCUGACGGAGCAACGCCGCGUGAGUGAUGAAGGUCUUCGGAUCGUAAAACUCUGUUAUUAGGGAAGAACAAAUGUGUAAGUAACUGUGCACGUCUUGACGGUACCGAAGCAGAAAGCCACGGCUAACUACGU
rnacentral:rRNA from 1 species